UGUGUUUUGUGUUUCUGAAACCAAUGGUAACAGCCAAACAUAACAGCAUUAGUGUCCAGUUGACAUCUGGAAUGUAAAUCUGCCCAUGUAUUUUCGAUGAAGUGUGAACAAUUUUGACUUUUGGAAAGCAACCAAGAGCUGAACAUUGUUUGAUUAUUGAAAAAGUGCCAGUAAUUAUUGCUUGACUUCCCACCACUGCUGCAAGAAUGGCCACUGCUAGAAUUGGCCAUCUUAUUUUCUCAGGUACAGAUACAUAGAAACCAAUCCGGUAAUCAGUUUCUAUGAUAUGAUGCUUUGAAAGAUAAGCAGCUUGUCCCAUAUAUGCAAGAAUCAAGGAAGGGUAAACCACAAAGGUGAAAGCAAUCUUGAUUGACA
rnacentral:misc_RNA from 1 species